UCUUGUUUUUUUUUCUGUUAUUUUCCUUUUUGGUCUUCUUCCCCUUCUUGCUUGCCCUCUGCACGCCCGACGCUCCUUCUUCCCGAAGUCCUAGCCUCAUCGAAACUCAGCCAAGCAACGACGCAGCCCGGAACAACCGACGACCCUUCCACCGCCAAAUCUCCACCGGCCACUAGUUGGCCGGAGAUCAUCACCGUUGUCGGCCGAGCAUACCCUCCUCGGCCAAACAUCGAACAAACAACGGCGGCGAUGGGAACGUAAUGAACGACCACACGGCCGACGCCCAAGGUCACCCAACAUCACCGGGACAUCAGAAUAGAGCAAGACGCGCCCGGACAACUUGAUUUCAG
rnacentral:lncRNA from 1 species